AUUGAACGCUGGCGGCAUGCCUUACACAUGCAAGUCGAACGGUAACAGGUCUUCGGAUGCUGACGAGUGGCGAACGGGUGAGUAAUACAUCGGAACGUGCCCGAUCGUGGGGGAUAACGAGGCGAAAGCUUUGCUAAUACCGCAUACGAUCUACGGAUGAAAGCGGGGGAUCUUCGGACCUCGCGCGGACGGAGCGGCCGAUGGCAGAUUAGGUAGUUGGUGGGAUAAAAGCUUACCAAGCCGACGAUCUGUAGCUGGUCUGAGAGGAUGAUCAGCCACACGGGGACGGAAAACCGGCCCAGACCCCUACGGGGGGCAGCAGGGGGGAAUUUUGGACAAUGGGCAAAAGCCUUACCCAGCCAGGCCGCGGGCAGGAUGAAGGCCUUGGGUUUGGAAACUUUUUUUGAACGGAACAAAAAGCCUCUUUCAAAAAAAGAGAGGUAAUGACGGUACCGUAAGAAUAAGCACCGGCUAACUACGU
rnacentral:rRNA from 1 species